GACGAACGCUGGCGGCGUGCCUAAUACAUGCAAGUUGAGCGAUGAAGAUUGGUGCUUGCACCAAUUUGAAGAGCAGCGAACGGGUGAGUAACGCGUGGGGAAUCUGCCUUUGAGCGGGGGACAACAUUUGGAAACGAAUGCUAAUACCGCAUAACAACUUUAAACAUAAGUUUUAAGUUUGAAAGAUGCAAUUGCAUCACUCAAAGAUGAUCCCGCGUUGUAUUAGCUAGUUGGUGAGGUAAAGGCUCACCAAGGCGAUGAUACAUAGCCGACCUGAGAGGGUGGUCGGCCACAACGGGACUGGGACACGGCCCAAACUCCUACGGGGGGCAGCAGUAGGGAAUCUUCGGCAAUGGGCGAAAGUCUGGCCGAGCAACGCCGCGUGGGGGAAGAAGGUUUUCGGAUCGUAAAACUCUGUUGGUAGGGAAGAACGUUGGGGAGAGUGGAAAGCUCAUCAAGUGACGGUAACUACCCAGAAAGGGACGGCUAACUACGUG
rnacentral:rRNA from 1 species